AGCGAACGCUGGCGGCAGGCCUAACACAUGCAAGUCGAACGAACUCUUCGGAGUUAGUGGCGGACGGGUGAGUAACACGUGGGAACGUGCCUUUUGGUUCGGAAUAACUCAGGGAAACUUGUGCUAAUACCGAAUGUGCCCUUCGGGGGAAAGAUUUAUCGCCAUUAGAGCGGCCCGCGUCUGAUUAGCUAGUUGGUGAGGUAACGGCUCACCAAGGCGACGAUCAGUAGCUGGUCUGAGAGGAUGACCAGCCACACUGGGACUGAGACACGGCCCAGACUCUUACGGGAGGCAGCAGUGGGGAAUCUUGCGCAAUGGGCGAAAGCCUGACGCAGCCAUGCCGCGUGAAUGAUGAAGGUCUUAGGAUUGUAAAAUUCUUUCACCGGGGACGAUAAUGACGGUACCCGGAGAAGAAGCCCCGGCUAACUUCGUG
rnacentral:rRNA from 1 species